CCUACGGGUGGCAGCAGUGGGGAAUAUUGGACAAUGGGGGGAACCCUGAUCCAGCGACGCCGCGUGAGUGAAGAAGUAUUUCGGUAUGUAAAGCUCUAUCAGCAGGGAAGAAAGAAAUGACGGUACCUGACUAAGAAGCCCCGGCUAACUACGUGCCAGCAGCCCCGGUAAAUCGGAGGGGGCAGGCGUUAUCCGGAUUUACUGGGUGUAAAGGGAGCGUGGACGGCGAUGCAAGGCUGAAGGUAAAGGCGGGGGCCCAACCCCCGGACUGCUUUGGAAACUGGAUGGCUUGAGUGCAGGAGAGGUAAGUGGAAUUCCUAGUGUAGCGGUGAAAUGCGUAGAUAUUAGGCGGAACACCAGUGGCGAAGGCGGCUUACUGGACUGUAACUGACGUUGAGGCACGAAAGCGUGGGGAGCAAACAGGAUUAGAUACCCUUGUAGUC
rnacentral:rRNA from 1 species